rnacentral:rRNA from 1 species
GAUGAACGCUGGCGGCGUGCCUAAUACAUGCAAGUCGAGCGAACAGACGAGGAGCUUGCUCCUCUGACGUUAGCGGCGGACGGGUGAGUAACACGUGGAUAACCUACCUAUAAGACUGGGAUAACUUCGGGAAACCGGAGCUAAUACCGGAUAAUAUAUUGAACCGCAUGGUUCAAUAGUGAAAGACGGUUUUGCUGUCACUUAUAGAUGGAUCCGCGCCUCAUUAGCUAGUUGGUAAGGUAACGGCUUACCAAGGCGACGAUGCGUAGCCGACCUGAGAGGGUGAUCGGCCACACUGGAACUGAGACACGGUCCAGACUCCUGCGGGAGGCAGCAGUAGGGAAUCUUCCGCAAUGGGCGAAAGCCUGACGGAGCAACGCCGCGUGAGUGAUGAAGGUCUUCGGAUCGUAAAACUCUGUUAUUAGGGAAGAACAAAUGUGUAAGUAACUAUGCACGUCUUGACGGUACCUAAUCAGAAAGCCACGGCUAACUACGUG